CCCCUGAUGUAUGGGACAAGUCAUUUUUUCAACUUGCUUUACAAACGAUAUUGACUAGACACUCUUAUUUUCUUUGAGUCAAUUGUUUGGUCAGCCUAAGACUAUGGUAACACAGACUCUGAUGUUAAACUUGGGCAAAGCUCAUUUCAAUAAAAAUCCUAGAGUUUAAACAAGCAAAAAGCACUCUCUACACAAAAAUGAGGCUUUUCCCACUUUUACCAUUGGGUACAAUUCUUGUAAUUCUGUAUGUUUCCAAUAUUCGCAUGGUCUUUGCUCAAAAUGAAAACCAAUUCAUCUACAAUGGCUUCCUUCAGGCCAAGCUGCAUCUUGAGGGAUCUGCUAAAAUUACCAGCAAUGGCCUACUGCUGCUAACCAAUACCGUAAACAUUUCAUACCCGCAAGUUGGUCACGCUUUCUUCCAAUCUCCUUUAAAAUUCAACACAACUUCCUCAGGUUUAAGUCCAUCUCUCUCAUUUUCUACAAACUUUGUAUUUGCCAUUGUUCCACAAGUGCCAAAUGUUGGAGCUAACGGCUUGGUCUUCACCAUCAGUCCAUCAAGUAGCUUCACCAACGUUGCAGGAAAUCAGUAUCUAGGACUCUUCAAUUCUUCAAAUGAAGGCCUUACUUCAAACCACAUUUUGGCCAUCGAGCUUGACACUGUUCUGAAUCCAGAAUUUGGAGAUAUUGAUAAAAAUCAUGUGGGAAUCGAUGUGAAUAGCCUGAAAUCAGUUGAUUCAGCUUCCGCAAUGUAUUUUUCCAAUAAAGAAGGGAAGAAUAUAAGCUUGGAGCUCACAAGUGGGAAUCCAAUGCAUCUUUGGAUAGACUAUGAUGAGGCAGAAAAAUUACUGAGUGUAACACUAGCCCCGAACGGAAUCCCAAAACCAAACCAGCCUCUCAUGUCAAAGUCCAUUGAUCUGUCUCAAUAUCUCUUGGAAUCUAUGUAUGUUGGUUUCUCUGCAGCAACUGGUACACUUGUUCCAAGUAACCACUACGUUCUAGGAUGGAGCUUUAAUAAAAGUGGACAAGCACAAAGCCUUGAUGUUUCGAAGCUUCCUUCACUUCCCCGACAAAGGAAAGCAAAAGAGAUAUCAGGACUAAUGAUCAUGGUUUUGCUCAUAGCAGUAGCACUUGUGCUGAUAACAAUCACUGGAACUGCUUACAAUUCAAGAAGGAAGAAAUUUGAAGAAAUACGUGAAGACUGGGAAAAGGAGUACGGUCCUCACAGAUUCACCUAUAAGUAUCUCUACAAGGCAACCAAAGGUUUCUCAGACAAAGAGCUUCUUGGAGCAGGAGGUUUUGGAAAGGUUUAUAGAGGAAUACUUCCUUCUUCCAAUACACAAAUUGCAGUCAAGAAAGUCUCCCAUGAUUCCAAACAAGGGAUGAAAGAAUUUGUGGCUGAGAUUAUUAGCAUGGGAAGGCUGAGGCACAGAAACUUGGUCCAGCUCCUGGGAUAUUGCCGGCGAAGAGGAGAACUCCUCUUGGUCUAUGAUUAUAUGCCCAACGGAAGCCUUGACAAGCUCUUAUAUAGCAAUGAAAAGCCAAACCUUAACUGGAUUCAACGGUUUCGGAUCCUGAAAGGAGUAGCUUCUGGCCUUCUCUACCUCCAUGAAGAGUGGGAACAGAUUGUUCUACACAGAGAUGUAAAAGCAAGUAAUGUUCUAUUAGAUGCUGAAUUAAAUGGAAGGCUAGGAGAUUUUGGCCUUGCCAGAUUAUACGACCACGGCACCAAUUCUCAAACCACCCAUGUGGUUGGGACAGUGGGCUAUUUGGCUCCAGAGCUUACUAGAACAGGGAGGGCAACCACUUGCACUGAUGUGUUUUCUUUUGGGGCUUUCAUGCUUGAGGUGGCUUGUGGAAGGAGGCCUAUAGAACUACAAGGACUGCCUGAAGAGGUUGUUUUGGUUGAUUACGUCUUUCUGUGCUGGGGAAAAGGAGCCAUCCUUGAUGCUAGUGAUCCUAGAUUGGAAGGUAAUUAUGUGGUGGAGGAAAUGGAAUUGGUUUUGAAACUAGGCCUGUUUUGCUCACACUUAGUGCCAGAAGCUAGGCCUAGCAUGAGGCAAGUGGUGCAGUUUUUGGAUGGCAAUGCUAAGCUGCCAGAACUACCAAAUGACAAAGCUUGUUUUGGUACAUCUACAAGUAAUGAAGUGUCUGAUUUCUUGUUGUCAUUUCCCUCAUCUUUUAGCAUAGCUUCUGCUCCUUCCUGUUCUAGCAUUGAUUCAAUCCUCAGAAGUGGUCGUUGAAUUAGUAGUAUAUUGUGCUAUGGGUUGAAUAGAUCAUGGAUCAAUGCUUGGGACCAAAUCAGCAAGUGGCAAAUACAAAACACCGAUUGCUUGGGUGUGGUGAGAAUAGAAAAUAGAAACUUUUGAAGAAUGUGAUGUUUAUAGUUGCUUUCGCUUAGUGUAGAAACUGUUAUGAUUACAGGGAUCCUACACUCUACACUCUUCUCCAUGGUGGCGUGGGCAAUCUGGAACCGGAGAAACAAUCUUGGCCUCCGAAAACUUGCAGCCCCACUCAACGAGCUGCUUGCUCAGGCACAAGACAGACUGCGCGAGUUUAAGCUCUACAAUUCCUUGGCCAUAAUCCCAGUCGGUCGACCACCUACCAGUUGGCAAGCUCCGAGCAGCGAUAUCUACAAAGCAAAUUUUGAUGGUGCUCUAUUUGCAGCAGAAAACAGCGCCGGUUUGGGAGUGGUUAUUCACAAUGCAGAGGGACAGGUCAUGGUCGCUCUCUCUCGGAAAAAACCACACUACCCUUUACAGCUAUUGAGGUGGAAGCAAUGGCAGCAAGGAGGGCUUUGACGCUAGCACUGGAGACCGGGUUUCAGCAGAUAACCUUGGAAGGGGACUCGCAGAUGCUCAUCUCAGCACUAGAAAACAACACUCACUCUCUGUCAAGUUUUGGCCACAUAAUGAAGGACAUUCAGUAUCUCGCCUCUUGUUUUUCAAAAAAUACAUUACUCUCACGUGUGUAGGCAUUGCAAUACUUUAGCUCAUUCUUUAGCAAUAAGGGCAGUUUCUUUAUCUCAAAUGCAAGUCUGAAUAGAGGAUAUACCACUAGAUAUUCUUCAUGUACUUCAAGCCGACUUAACUGGCCUUCCUAAGUAAUAAAAGUUUGAU